CAUUCAUCCCUUUGGCACGGUACAACGCCUUGGGAUUGGGACCCCUGUUAGAGGACUUUUACCUCACAUGGGACAAACGUCAGCUCAAUUCUUCAAGUCCCGAAACUGCAGGGACCGCAGACGUCAGGAAGGCAAACUAGCAGAGCACUCUCAGACAGGGGUGUGCAGCCCGCUCUUCCUACCCCAACGACUGAAACCAAAGCCUAGGGAACAGCUACUGGUGAAACCAGGGUGGAUACAAAUCCACUGGCAAUACUGUCACUGCCGAGUAACUCUGCAGAAAGCCAGACCAAGAUCUGACGGCCAAGGCAUAACCUGGCAUGGGCUUCCAACAAUAGCCUACUAGGGGGAGCUACUUCCUUUCAGCUA
rnacentral:lncRNA from 1 species